rfam:Triticum aestivum genome assembly, contig: Triticum_aestivum_CS42_TGACv1_scaffold_033041_1BL
AUAAUACUCCCUCCGUCCGGAAUUACUUGUCAUCAAAAUGGAUGUGUCUAGAACUAAAAUACAUCUAGAUACAUCCAUUUCAAUGACAAGUAUUUUCGGACGGAGGGACCAGUAGAAU